AUUGAACGCUGGCGGCAUGCCUUACACAUGCAAGUCGAACGGUAACAGGCCGCAAGGUGCUGACGAGUGGCGAACGGGUGAGUAAUGCAUCGGAACGUGCCCAGUCGUGGGGGAUAACGCAGCGAAAGCUGCGCUAAUACCGCAUACGAUCUAUGGAUGAAAGCGGGGGACCGAAAGGCCUCGCGCGAUUGGAGCGGCCGAUGUCAGAUUAGGUAGUUGGUGGGGUAAAGGCUCACCAAGCCAACGAUCUGUAGCUGGUCUGAGAGGACGACCAGCCACACUGGGACUGAGACACGGCCCAGACUCCUACGGGAGGCAGCAGUGGGGAAUUUUGGACAAUGGGCGCAAGCCUGAUCCAGCAAUGCCGCGUGCAGGAAGAAGGCCUUCGGGUUGUAAACUGCUUUUGUACGGAACGAAAAGGCUCUGGUUAAUACCUGGGGCUCAUGACGGUACCGUAAGAAUAAGCACCGGCUAACUACGUGCCAGCCGCCGCCGUAAUAC
rnacentral:rRNA from 1 species